AUAUACUUGAUACAUAUCUUUUAUACAGUAAUUUUUAAAGGAUAAAAUUGAUAAUUUAACUCUUCUCCAAUAUAACAUUAACCUUGGCAAGUUGUUAAAUUCAUUAUCAAGACUCAAACAACUUCUAAGAAGUUUUAAUAAUCGUUCAUUUUUAACCCAUUAACACAAUCUUCGAGCUUGUUGGGCGUUAAUGGGUUAAUAAUCAUUUAUUUUCAUUAAAAAGUUUAUUAAAAAGUUAGUAACAAAAGAAAUUUUAUAACUAAGAUGUAGUUUCCCUACACUGUAUAUAUUUAUAUAAAUAUGUGAUACAUGCUACAUAUGAAUAUUUUUACAUGCAUUUGCAUUUAGAAAUGGGAUGUGGAAUAUGAUGCGGCGCAAUGUGAUUGAUUAGUUUUUUGAUGUGUGGAAAGAUCCGAAUAGGAUUCUAAGUGGUAUAAGAAGCGCGAAGCACGACAUGAACUGUUUUGUCUUCUGAUUUUUCGUUGUGAAAUCUUUAUUGGAACAACUUCAGCAUAUUUGUAAUGAACUAAAAGACGAAAAUGAAAUUGCUAUUAUAAAAAAGUGUGGCAAUAACGCAAAAUGUUAUACAAUUAUACUUCUAUUGUUUGCCGUAUGCUGUAUAUUUACUAUUAUUUUGAUGCCAAUUUGGUCACGAAUUGUUGAUAAUAUUUUGCUCACCGAAUUGCAAUCACAUCGUGUGAUAGACAUCUUUAACACUGAAUAUUUUGUUGAUGAAGAAAAAUAUUAUUAUUUAAUUUUGUUACAUUUUUAUGCAAGCAUUUCUAUAGGUGGAAUUGCACUCGUAGCAACAGGAACGAUGCUUAUUGCAUAUUUUAAACAUAUCUGCGGAAUGUUUAGUGUUGCCAGGUAAAAAACUGUAUACAAUAAGUUAAACAUAUAAGGAUAAGUAAAGCUU